GAUUUCAAGCCCUGGUCCUGGGGUCAAGUCAGGGUCAGGGUGUUUUUCCUUGGCCCUUUUCACCCUACAGAUAGGACAUCAACAAAGGGAGUAUUCCAUCCAGAGCCUUUGUGGUGAGCCGAUGACGUCAUGGGUUAUUUUAUAGGAUUGCUGCUGAGUGAUUACUUACAGGACCAUGAGUGAGGUUCACAGGAGCACAGAAGAAGAGUAACUGUCCACAUCUAAUCUGUGAGACGUGGAUCCCAGAGAGACUUGUGUCCUGAUGGCUAAUUUUAUCAUAGAGCUACGCUCACAAUAAGCAAAAAGUAACUGUAUUGUGUUCUCACCAUCUUGGCUGGUGACCUUAUCAAGAUGAAGACAACCAAGUAAAUUGGUCAUCACCUUGGUUGAGUCUUGUGGUUUAAACCCAGCAGAUCCGUUAACUUGAACAUGAACACCUGCAACUGUUCUUCUGCGGGUAAUUCUCCCCACCCUGCACCGGGAGCCACCCUGCAUUCUUCAGUCCGAGGGAAGGAAGGAGGAGAGGGGUUAGGACGGAAGGUGGAGGGAAGUAGAAAAAGAUGGAAGAUCACCGGAGAGGAGAGAAAACCACACGUGCCUGCCUACUCUAGGAUGCAGUCAGGGACUGCAGCGUGCUCUGAGCAACCAGUCCCUUCCCAGAAUAUAGUGAAGUAAAGUCGGGUUUAAAAAAAGA